rnacentral:rRNA from 1 species
UACAGAGGGUGCGAGCGUUGUCCGGAAUCACUGGGCGUAAAGGGCGCGUAGGUGGCGACCCAAGUCAAUGGUGAAAGCUCGAUGCUCAACAUCGAGUCGGCCACUGAUACUGGGUUGCUCGAGCACUGUAGAGGCAGAUGGAAUUCCGGGUGUAGCGGUGGAAUGCGUAGAGAUCCGGAAGAACACCGGUGGCGAAGGCGGGUCUCUGGGCCGAUACUGACGCUGAGGAGCGAAAGCGUGGGGAGCGAACAGG